UACGGAGGGUGCAAGCGUUAUCCGGAUUCACUGGGUUUAAAGGGUGCGUAGGUGGGCAGUUAAGUCAGUGGUGAAAUCUCCGGGCUCAACCCGGAAACUGCCAUUGAUACUAUCUGUCUUGAAUAUCGUGGAGGUAAGCGGAAUAUGUCAUGUAGCGGUGAAAUGCUUAGGUAUGACAUAGAACACCAAUUGCGAAGGCAGCUUACUACCCGAAUAUUGACACUGAGGCACGAAAGCGUGGGGAUCAAACAGG
rnacentral:rRNA from 1 species